UAUAUAUAAAGACUGACUCAUAUACCGAUCUAACCACUAACCUGAGGAAGACAUCAUCUCAUAAAUAGGGUAAGGAACUGAGGCUCUUCUGUAACUCUACACUGACCGAAAGCAAGACUCACUCAAUGUGGCUUGAGAAUUUCUGUAAACUUGUGUGUGUUAGUGAGAGCACAGAGACCUCAGUUAUAUACUAUAUGUGAUGGUCUUUGAUUAGGAGUCCUCCCAUUAAGUAAACCCUAUCAAAGAUUAACCUUAUCACCGAAGAUUACUUAUGCAUAAAUCAGCUAUAAGAGUUCUAGUUUAUCUAAGAAUGUUUCUGACUUGUAUACCUAAGUAAUACAACUCCUGAAAAGUCUACCGCAUGUGCUAAUGUUAAUCUCCUUGUCGUCCCAAAAGUCUUUGUACAAAUCACAAAGUGUUUGCUCUCAAAUAGAACUUACAUUCUCCCACUAGAGCAAAUACUUUGUAAAGUUGUAUAAUCAUACUUGAGUUGGGAAUAAUCUGAAUUGGCCAUGAGAUUAACUUUCGACACUUCUUAGUUUUCCAGUCUUCGUCAUUGUUAAGCAUUUAUGAGAAUUAUAGGGCAACACACUCAUUACACUGAAGAGUACCGUCCCCAUAAUUACUUUCAGUAAAGCUUAUCAACACAUAAGAUUCCAACAAGAUAUAUAGCAUGUAAGACAACCGAACAUGUAUUAAUUAUGUCAAACAUUUGGUCCCUUUCAGAAUCGAAAAACGAUCCAUGUGCUUCUAUAUAAAGCCCUCAGGUUGUCUGACACUGUAUAAUGAAUAAGAAGCAUAAACAUCAUGCAAAAAUAUUCAUGCAUUAUCAUAGCUAACAACUGAACUCUUUAAGGGAACUUGAACAACCUUGCAGCUUUAUUCUUUAUUAGCUAAGAAAACUUCAUUGUUAAUACUCAAAACUUAUCCUCCAUAACAUAAAUUGCUAUUGAAUUAAAACUAGCAUAAAAGUUUAAACCUGUUGCAUAGCUCCCACUAAUUCGCUUCAUCAAAACCAGCCAAGACUCCCAUGCUAGUGACAUGCUUCUUGAAAACAAUGGUGGGAACUGCUUUAUUUAACGGAUCAGCAAUCAUGGAUCUAGUCUCCAAAUAAUCAACUUUAACUAGACCUGCCAUCACCUUCUCUCGAGCAAUGAGAUAUUUAUAUCCAAAUUCCUUGUUGCAUUAGACCUCUUAUUAUUCUUAGUAAAGAAUAUGGCUGCAUUAUUAUCACCGAAAAUCUGUAUAGGUCUCGAUAUAGAGUCCACUACUUGAAGCCCAAGUAUGAAAUUCUUCAACCAGAUAGCUUGAUUCACUGUUUCACAGACUGAUAAAUACUCUGCAACCAUUGUUGAUGCUGCCACAGUUCCUUGUUUGACAGCCUUCCAGGAAACCGCACCACAUGCCAUUAAGAAAAUAUAACCUGUAGUCGACUUCAUAUCAUUUGGACAACCUGCAAAAUCUGAAUCACUAUACCCUUCCAAAACCAAACUCUCGGUUCUUUUAUACACCAACAUAUGAUCCUUGGUUCUCUGAAGGUAUCUCAAAAUCCUUUUGGCAGCAUUCCAAUGAGCUUCACCUGCAUUGGAUUGAAACCUCCCAAGCACAGAAAUGGUGAAGGACAAGUCAGGCCUUGUGCACACCUGUGCAUACAUUAAACUUCCCACCAGGGAGGCGUAUGGUUUUUCGUCCAUAGCCUUCCUCUCUAAGUCUGUUUGUGGACACUGCAACUUACUCAAUUUAUCACCCUUCGAUAUAGGCAUCUCAAUAGUUCCACACGAAGACAUGUUAAACCUUUUUAACAUUUUCUCUAUAUAUGCUUUCUAUGACAAUCCUAGCAAGCCUCUCAUUCUAUCCAUUUUGAUCUCAAUGCCCAAAACAUAAGUCGCUUCUCCCAUGUCCUUCAUUUCAAAAUGCUUCUGCAAAAAAGUUUUUGUAUCAUCCAACAAACUGUGACAAUUCGUGGCAAGCAAUAUAUCAUCCACAUAGAGUACUAAGAUGAUAAAGUUGCUCCCACUUAACCUCAGAUAGAUGCAAUUGUCUGAAGGAUUCUCGGUGAAGCCAUGUUCUUUCACAAUUCUAUGAAAUUUCAAGUACCACUGCCGUGAUGCUUGCUUCAAUCCAUAUAUGGAUUUGUUGAGUUUGCACACUAGGUUUCUUCCUUCUCCCUCCUUGAAACCUUCUGGUUGUCGUAUGUAAAUGCGCUCUUCCAGGUCCCCAUUCAAGAACGCCGUUUUUACAUCCAUUUGAUGUAAAAUCAAAUCAAAGUGAGCCACCAUAGACAUGAUAACCCUAACCUUUGUCGACACGGGGCUGAAUGUUUCUUUAUAGUCUACACCCUCCUUUUAUGUGAAGCCUUUCGCAACGAGCCUGACUUUGUGCCUUUCAAUAUUUCCAUUUGAAUCCCUUUUUGUUUUAAAAAACCAUUUACAUCCUAUGGGUUUUGUUCCUUCUGCCUGUUCCACUAAAUCCCACACUUGAUUGUUUGCCAUCGAACUCAGUUCACUUUUCAUGGCUCUAUCCAUUUAUCAGCAUCUGGUCCUGCAAUUGCUUCUUUGUAACUCAGCGGAUCAUUAAACUCUGAAAGAUCAGUGUCAACCUGUGUCAAAUAUACAAAAUCAUUUAGGGUUGUAGGUUUUCUAACCCUAGAUGACCUUCUUAUAUUUGUAGCACCCACAACCGUGAUGUUGUCUUCAUGUGCAUGGUGCUGUUGUUGUUGAUUUUCUGUCAUAGCCUCUUCAAACACAUCUUGUACGACAGUGUUAUCGUGCAGUUCGAUGUCAUGUGCAACCUCUAUCUCGUUACAUGGUUCAUCAGAAUCAUUGCUUCCCAUGUUCUCGGUUACUACAAUUAUUGGUGCCAUAAUCGUUGUGUUACGAUCAACGUUUUCAACUGCAGCUUCUUUAUUGUUAAUUUCUUCUUCAAAUACGAACCCUUCAACCUUUGUCCCAGAAUCAACGCUUGCAUCAGACUCCAUGAAAACUGCUUUUCCAAUUUCAACAAUUCUUGUAUUUUGGUUAGGGCAAUAGAAUCUAAAACCCUUCGAUCGUUCAGCAUAUCCAAUAAAAUGACAACUGACAGUCUUUGAAUCAAGUUUCUUGUAGCCGGGAUUAUAUAUCUUUGCCUCUGCUCUACAACCCCAUACAUGCAAAUGGUUUAAACUCGGUUUUCUGCCUGUCCAUAGUUCGAAAGGUGUCCCUUCCACAGAUUUUGAAGGUACCCUAUUUAAUAUAUAAUUUGUAGUUUUCACUGCUUCACCCCACAAACAACUUGGCAGAUUAGUUCUGCAAAUCAUGCUCCUUACCAUGUCCAUGAGAGUUCUAUUCCUCCUCUCGGCUACUCCGUUUUGCUCCGGAGUACCUGGUGUGGUAUAUUAGGCUAUAAUUCCAUGUUCUUGCAGAAAUAACGCAAAGGGUCCAGGAUUUCUACCAAUUUCAGUAUAUCUACCAUAGUACUCCCCUCCCCUAUCAGACCUUACAACCUUAAUGUUCCUUUCCAAUUGAUUUUCGACUUCAUUUUUAUAAAUUUUAAAGGUUUCAAGUGCUUUACACUUUUCUGAAAUCAAAUAAAUGAAGCAAAAUCUUGAGAAAUCUUCAAUAUAAGUUAUGAAAUAUUUGUUUCCUUCUAAGGUUUGUGUGGGAAAAUGACCACAAAUGUCCGUGUGAAUGAUCUCUAAAGGUUGCUUACUCCUAGUUGAGCCUUUUUUUCUAGUGUUUGUCAUUUUCCCUUUAAUGCAAUCCACACAAAAAUCAAAGUCAUUGAAGUUUAAUGGAGGUAGAAUUUCAUUUUUGACAAGCAGCUCCAUUCUUUGUUUAGAAAUAUGGCCAAGUCUAUUAUGCCAUAAUAUUGAAGAUUGUUGAGUUUUGACUUUAUCAUCUUGUACGUUGAAAACACAUUCAGUUUGAUUCAAUUUAAGUUGAAACAUACCAUCACUCAUGAAACCAUGUCCUACUUGAAAAGACUCAUAAAAAACGUUGAAGCCCCUUUUAUUAAUAGUAAAAUAAAAACCCAAUAACACUAGCUUUGAAAUAGAAAUCAACUUCCUUUUCAUGGAAGGCACAUAAACAACGUUAUCUAACUCUAAAUAAAAACCAAAUUCUAGCUUUAAUCUAACACUUCCUAAGGCCUUGACUUCAACUCUUCUUCCAUUGCCAACCGAAACUUUGACUUCAUCCUUAUUUGGUGUUCUCCUUGUUGCGAAGUCCUGCAAUGAAUUUGUAACAUGUAUAGAAGAGCCCGAGUCAAGCCACCAUUCAGUGCUAGGUAUGUUAAUUAAAUUUCAUUCAAAGCAAGCAAAAACAUUUUUACCUUUCUUUGCUUCUUGUUUGGCAAGCCAAGCCUUAUAUUUGGGACAGUUUUUCUUCAUGUGGCCUGCCUUUUUGCAAAAAUAGCACUUGAAAACUGAAGGUUUAUUAAGUUUGAAGUUUCUUUUAGGAGAGGGAACUGACUUGGUAGAGUCCUUUUUGGCAGUAUCAGGGACAUGAGAUUUAGUGGCCCUAGUGACACUUUGGACAAAAUUCACAGACUCAAACCUUUCUUUCUUCAUCCUUUCUUCUUCACUCACACAAAUAGCUAUCAAUUCAUUCACAUCCCAUUUCUCACGUAGACCAUUAUAAUAAACUUUGAGUUGUGUAUAACUCUCAGGCAGAGAAUUCAUAAUGACAUGUACCAGAAAAGUAUCAGAAAUUGGUACCUCGAGUGCAUUGAGUUUUCCAGCAACGUCCACCAUCUUCAAUAUGUAUUCUCGCACACUUUGAACCCCUUCAUAUCUCAUGGUAGUGAGAGCAUUCAUGAGAUUACCUGUCUCAGUUUUUGGCGAUUCCCUAUACUUUGCCUCAAUGGACUUCAGAAAAUCUUUUGCAUUUGUUUCAUCAGGAAAGCCACCUCUCACCACAUCUGUCAUGCUCCUUUUGAUGAUCAAUAGGGCAAUUCUGUUGGAUUUGUGCCAUUUUUCAUACUUGGAUUUCUGAUUGGAGGUGCUGUCAUCAGUGAGUGCCGGAGGCUCUUCAGUUCUCAGUGCCAAAUCCCAGUCCAUAACUCCCAAAACGAUUUCGAGAUCUUGUUUCCAUUUUCUAUAGUUGACACCAGUAAGAGGCUCAACUGUAUUGAGAUUCAAAGAGCUGGGAUUCACUGAAAAGAAAACGUUCAUGAUGUAAAGAGUAUUAAUCUUUAACCCCAAACCAUAAAUCACAUCUUCAACAUCUUUAGAUUGAUGAAUAUGUGAAAACUUUCUUUAAUUGUAUCACUUUUAUAGUCAACAUUCGAAUUUCUGUAAUUAAAAUCACAAGCCUUUGUGGUUUGACAAUAUUAAUUUGAUUCAAAUAUAUAUAUAAAAUGAUAUGCUGCUCAAAUUCAAAGCAUGACAGAAAAAAACAUCUUUAGAUGAUCAAUAAUCAUGUCUUGAAUUUUAAGCACCAUCACUGGUACAUGUAUCGAUUGAAAAACAUAAUAUCCUUAUGAUCAAGGAUAACUUUAGUCAUCCUUGAACGUGUUUUAUAUAUUUUUCCUUGAUGAUACAGUUCUAGUUCCAUAACCUGCGAGACAGAAUGAAAUUUCUUGAUGCCUUUCACAUAGGGUCAGAUGAUAUGUGAGGGCUCUGAUACCAAAUGUUAGAAAGACUUUAUUAGUUAUAUAUAUAUAUAUAAAGACUGACUCAUAUACCGAUCUAACCACUAACCUGAGGAAGACAUCGUCUCAGAAAUAGGGUAAGGAACUGAGGCUCUUCUGUAACUCUGCACUGACCGAAAGCAGACUCACUCAAUGGGGCUUGAGAAUUUCUGUAAACUUGCGUGUGUUUAGUGAGAGCACAGGGACCUCAGUUAUAUACUAUAUGUGAUGGUCUUUGAUUAGGAGUCCUCCCAUUAAGUAAACCCUAUCAAAGAUUAACCUUAUCACCGAAGAUUACUUAUGCAUAAAUCAACUAGAAGAGUUCUAGUUUAUCUAAGAAUGUUUCUUACUUGUAUACCUAAGUAAUACAACUCCUGAAAAGUCUACCGCUUGUGCUAAUGUUAAUCUCCUUGUCGUCCCAAAAGUCUUUGUACAAAUCACAAAGUGUUUGCUCUCAAAUAGAACUUACACAAC
rnacentral:lncRNA from 1 species